rnacentral:rRNA from 1 species
GACGAACGCUGGGCGGGCGUAGUCGUUAACCCUAAACUAACUAGUCGAACGUAACGGUACGGACGGGUAACGGGAACCCCUUUUUCGGGGGGGUAACUACGGAAAGGAACGGGCCGUUAACGGGGUCGUUACGUUUAACCUACGGUAGGGUUUUAGGACCCGGUCGGGACCCCGGGUUCGAAGGUAACCUACCGUUGGGGGGACUAAAACCGUCGACCCUUGGGGUAAAACGUAGGGUUUCGGGUAAAUUAAACCCGGGUACCGGGUAAAACCGGGGUCGUAAACUUACCCCGAAAUUAAGUACCCGACUUUACCUUCGUUUCGUAGGGGGUUAGGGGGAAAAA